rnacentral:rRNA from 1 species
CGAAGGGGGCGAGCGUUGUUCGGAAUCACUGGGCGUAAAGCGUGCGUAGGUGGCGAGGAAAGUUAGAAGUGAAAGCCCAGGGCUCAACCUUGGAAUUGCUUUUAAAACUCCCUCGCUCGAAUCUCGGAGAGGAUAGCGGAAUUGUCAGUGUAGCAGUGAAAUGCGUAGAUAUUGACAGGAACACCAGUGGCGUAAGCGGCUAUCUGGACGAGUAUUGACACUGAGGCACGAAAGCGUGGGGAUCAAACAGGAUUAGAUACCCUGGUAGUCCACGCUGUAAACGAUGUGUGUUUGUCGCUGGGAGGUUUACCUCUCGGUGACGGAGCUAACGCGUUAAGCACACCGCCUGGGAAGUACGGUCGCAAGAUUA